rnacentral:rRNA from 1 species
GCCGGCAGCCAUAUCACCCUGUAGCCCAAGACUGGUUGCCCACUGAAGCUAAGCAGGGUUGAGCCUGGUCAGUACAUGGAUGGGAGACCUCUUGGGAAAACUAGGUUGCUGUUGGAA